rnacentral:lncRNA from 1 species
AUUUUUGUGAUUGGUUCCUUAUGGGUUUUGCAUUAUGUGCAAUAUUCAAUUUGUUUUUUAAGAAACCCUGCAGAGUCAAGACAGAUUGGCAAGCAACAGAACUGAUUGAACAAAAGAAGGUUAUCCGUGACUGUAUUUAUGAUUAGAUCUCUCUCCUGGUAUUCCAGAGGCAUCUUAAAGAAAAGAAACCACCUGCAGAAGACUGAGGGAGAUUUCUUCGGGAGUUGGAGUUUGUCACUGGGCAAAAUUGUAGUUUAUGCUUUUGCCAAGCUACGAACUGGAACAACACUUUAGAACAGCCAUCUCUAUGUUUAUAUAGUAACUAUAUAAACGGUCCACUGACUCCUCCUUUAUGAGCUGAGCAUUCAGACUUUACAGAGAUAUAUAAGUCAACAUCUCUUGAAAUGAAAAAUCCAACAUGCUGCCUCAUUUUUACCAUUUGGUGUUGUGAUGUUCUUUAAAUGUAAAUCCAGAAAGUCAGUGC